CAGUGCCUACGGGGCGCAGCAGUAGGGAAUCUUCGGCAAUGGACGGAAGUCUGACCGAGCAACGCCGCGUGAGUGAUGACGGCCUUCGGGUUGUAAAGCUCUGUUAAUCGGGACGAAAGGCCUUCUUGCGAAUAGUUAGAAGGAUUGACGGUACCGGAAUAGAAAGCCAAGGCUAACUACGUGCCAGCAGCCGCGGUAAUACGUAGGUGGCAAGCGUUGUCCGGAAUUAUU
rnacentral:rRNA from 1 species